GGGGGAGGGCGGGCCUACCAGUGCAGUCGAGGGGUAACGGGAGCUUGCUCCGCUGACGACCGGCGCACGGGUGCGCACCGCGUAUGGAACCUACCUUCUACAGGGGAAUAGCCCAGGGAAACUUGGAUUAAUGCCCCGUGGUACCGUUGAUCGGCAUCGACCAACGGUUAAAGCCUUCGGGCGGUAGAAGAUGGCCAUGCGUCCCAUUAGUUUGUUGGUAAGGUAACGGCUUACCAAGACUACGAUGGGUAGGGGCCCUGAGAGGGGGAUCCCCCACACUGGUACUGAGACACGGACCAGACUCCUACGGGAGGCAGCAGUGAGGAAUAUUGGACAAUGGAGGAGACUCUGAUCCAGCCAUGCCGCGUGCAGGAAGAAUGCCCUAUGGGUAGUAAACUGCUUUUAUACGGGAAGAAAAAAGGGUACGUGUACCUUACUGACGGUACCGUAAGAAUAAGGACCGGCUAACUCCGUGCCAGCAGCCGCGGUAAUACGGAGGGUCCGAGCGUUAUCCGGAAUUAUUGGGUUUAAAGGGUCCGUAGGCGGGCAGUUAAGUCAGUGGUGAAAGUCUGUAGCUCAACUAUAGAAUUGCCUUUGAUACUGAUUGUCUUGAGUUAUAGUGAAGUUGCCGGAAUAUGUAGUGUAGCGGGUGAAAUGCAUAGAUAUUACAUAGAACACCGAUUGCGAAGGCAGGUGACUAACUAUAUACUGACGCUGAUGGACGAAAGCGUGGGGAGCGAACAGGAUUAGAUACCCUGGUAGUCCACGCCGUAAACGAUGGAUACUAGCUGUCCGGGUCCUUGAGACCUGGGCGGCCAAGCGAAAGUGAUAAGUAUCCCACCUGGGGAGUACGUUCGCAAGAAUGAAACUCAAAGGAAUUGACGGGGGCCCGCACAAGCGGUGGAGCAUGUGGUUUAAUUCGAUGAUACGCGAGGAACCUUACCAGGGCUUAAAUGCAUAUUGACAGGGGUAGAGAUACCUUUUCCUUCGGGCAAUUUGCAAGGUGCUGCAUGGUUGUCGUCAGCUCGUGCCGUGAGGUGUCAGGUUAAGUCCUAUAACGAGCGCAACCCCUACCGUUAGUUGCCAGCAUGUCAUGAUGGGGACUCUAACGGGACUGCCGGUGCAAACCGUGAGGAAGGUGGGGAUGACGUCAAAUCAUCACGGCCCUUACGUCCUGGGCCACACACGUGCUACAAUGGCAGGUACAGAGAGCAGCCACGUCGCAAGGCGGAGCGAAUCUAUAAAACCUGUCACAGUUCGGAUCGGGGUCUGCAACUCGACCCCGUGAAGCUGGAAUCGCUAGUAAUCGGAUAUCAGCCAUGAUCCGGUGAAUACGUUCCCGGGCCUUGUACACACCGCCCGUCAAGCCAUGGAAGCCGGGAGUGCCUGAAGUCCGUCACCGUAAGGAGCGCCCUAGGCAAGAUCCGGAUAUAAU
rnacentral:rRNA from 1 species